UACGUAGGGUGCAAGCGUUGUCCGGAAUUAUUGGGCGUAAAGAGCUCGUAGGCGGUCUGUCGCGUCGGCUGUGAAAACUCGGGGCUCAACCCCGAGCCUGCAGUCGAUACGGGCAGACUAGAGUGCUGUAGGGGAGACUGGAAUUCCUGGUGUAGCGGUGAAAUGCGCAGAUAUCAGGAGGAACACCGGUGGCGAAGGCGGGUCUCUGGGCCGAAACUGACGCUGAGGAGCGAAAGCGUGGGGAGCAAACAGG
rnacentral:rRNA from 1 species